UUAGAUCAUUUGGGAUAUUGA
rnacentral:piRNA from 1 species